rnacentral:rRNA from 1 species
GAUGAACGCUGGCGGCGUGCCUAAUACAUGCGAGUCGAGCGAACAGAUGAGGAGCUUGCUCCUCUGACGUUAGCGGCGGACGGGUGAGUAACACGUGGAUGACCUACCUAUAAGACUGGGAUAACUUCGGGAAACCGGAGCUAAUACCGGAUAAUAUAUUGAACCGCAUGGUUCAAUAGUGAAAGACGGUUUUGCUGUCACUUAUAGAUGGAUCCGCGCCGCAUUAGCUAGUUGGUAAGGUAACGGCUUACCAAGGCAACGAUGCGUAGCCGACCUGAGAGGGUGAUCGGCCACACUGGAACUGAGACACGGUCCAGACUCCUACGGGAGGCAGCAGUAGGGAAUCUUCCGCAAUGGGCGAAAGCCUGACGGAGCAACGCCGCGUGAGUGAUGAAGGUCUUCGGAUCGUAAAACUCUGUUAUUAGGGAAGAACAAAUGUGUAAGUAACUAUGCACGUCUUGACGGUACCUAAUCAGAAAGCCACGGCUAACUACGUG